rnacentral:lncRNA from 10 species
AUUGGACCUGCUUACCCACAGCAGUCACCAGCUCAACCAGGGAAGGAAACGCACCACCCUGCUAGCCCUGCUUCAGCCUUGGGUGAGGCUGUGAAGGCUGGUGACGGGAAAACUGGAGCAGAGAAGACAAAUCCAGCCUGAGCCAAGAGGCCUCUGCAUCGCUGGUCAGGAAAAAGCAACUGCUAGAUUUCUGGUUUGCCCCUCAGACCGUGGAGCUCCGGGUCACCAGCCUGAACCGCUUAAUGCACAUCACGCCUGGGUUUAGUUGGAAAUGGCUGAAGGCACUUAAAUGGAACUCCCAACCUUUGUCCUCAGCUUCCGAAACCACAGGUAAGUAUUGAGGUCUGUGUUGUAUCGAUCAUGCCUCCCACCGGCAUCAGGAAAAAUGCUGUGAAGCAAGUCAACUUUCUAGUGACAAGGGAAGUCAUUCUCCUAAUCCACUCUCACUGGACAAUCAGGUUGACAAAAACCAUUAAGUUUUCCGAGAUUAGAAAUUCACUGUCAGAGGGAGCCGUGUAUAGAGUUUUCCACUCCAUUACACCCAGGACAAUAACCAGAGGCCAAGUGACAGAAAAAGCCUGGGGCUUUUUUAAAGUUUCCUGUGUCCUUGAGUAGAGAAAAAUAAAUUCACAAAGUGUCUCCUUUUUGUAGGAUGUGGGUUUGUAUAUCCUCUCAUUGAUCAAUGCAACAACCUAUGAGGAGAGGUCUGUUUAUUGCAUUUGACAGAAGAAGAAGCCGAGGUUCUGCAGGAAUAGGUUUGCUAUCUAAGAUCACCCAGCUAGUUAGUGUCGGAUGGGGCUGAGAAUCAGAGUCAGAAAACUGGAGGGGUCUAGAGACUAAAUGACCUGCUUUCUUCUAGGCAGAAUAGCACUUUAGCCAUCCUUGAACCCACUUUCCCCGGAAAGACCCCACGGUUCUGUAGCAAGUGGUAGCGGGCUGGGACAGGGGUUAAGAUCACAGGCUGUGGUGCCUGACGGAUUCACAUCCACGCCCCAACUCUGCCUCCCACCGUGUGCCUUGAGGCAAGUUCUUUCCCCUCUCUAAGCUUCCUUCUCCUCCUCUUAUUCGUAAGAAGAUAAUAACCUAAAACACUACCCCAUAAGGGUUCUGAGGAUUAAAUGAGAUCACACUUGUAAAGCAUUUAGCAUAUUGACCGGCGCAUGGCAAGUACUUUGAAAAACAGAAGCCAGUCAGCAAUAGGAAGUGGUUUCUUAC